UGUGUAGCUAUAAAAGGCUAUAAAACGCAGCCAUGAUGAGGGAUUGAGAGGGGCGGCGGAAAAAAAAAAAGAAAAACAGAGAAAAAUGAUGGAAAAGAGAAAAAAAGAGAGAAAAGAGAAAAACAUAAAUAUAUGGAAAAUAAGGUGACCAGGUUGAGCCGUCAGCCCGCUUCAUCACUAAAUUCCGAUCUUUUUAUGAGUUCUUGAAGCAGAUUCUCUGUUUCUGCACUUUCUUGGGAGGGAUCUAAACAACUUUUAUUCAGAAACUGUUUCAAAAAAACGUCUUCAAAUCAGUUGAAUCGGGGUUCCAAGUUCCAGGUUCACCAUCGCUGAAAUUCCUAUGGCAAAAGCUCUCUGAGUUUCGUUUCCAAAACCAGCGCGAUUUCUUGGCGGCAUUUCACGUCCAUUUCACUUCACCAGGGUUCUAAGGGUCCGGCAUGGAUUGGGGACUAAAGUAGAGAAACGUGAAAUUCGUUUUGCUGAAUUUUGACCAAUGAUGCUAAAGAAUAGUAUGGACAACAAAGUGGGCUUCGCUCGUAAUGCGCGGAUGGGAUUCAUGGGACUGUAAAAUUUUAGGUGCCUUUGGAACCUAUUAUUGUUAGUAGGUUGCAUACACUAACUUAACUACUGCUGUAUUGUAUUGAUGCCGGUUGUUUAGCAGUAGUUGGAAGCACUUUAGUUUUCAAGAAUUUUGGUGGGUGUUUUGUGGUGGGGGGCCGCCAUUUGUACUGGAUGUUACGGCAAUUCCUGGAGGAAGUCACUAUCCUAAUCCUGGGUGUCAAUUGUAUUGUCAUUUGAAUAGUAUUAUAAAAAGGUGAUAGGUAGGCAGUCUGAAAUGCUGAACUGGAUAUCUUAGCUAAAUCUGACUCGGCUUCUUCCUCC